ACAUGAACUAAAACCGGCCAAAUUAGUCUGCCAGUUUAAAUAGUGCAGCCUCAUAUUAUGUCGUGGACCGUGUCUUGUUUGUUCGCGUGUUCGUGGUUUUAGUUACUUACACAGUGGCUCGAUCUGGACGGUACCCACAACGAGAACGCCUUCACGCAACAACAAACACUAAAGUUAUAGUCACAUCCGCUCACAGAAACUACAUAUUAAGGCGCAGCGACAACGACCAGCCGACCCGCAAACAAUCCACACGUAACUCGAAAACGUUCAAAAGAUCGUUAUCAAAACGAUAAUCGGCUCGAUCGAAUCGAUUCCGGUAUAAUCGUGCCAAGGGAUGAAAUGAGGAACCCGUAAACAGUCACCAUGUCGGAUACUCAUCAAUAAUAAAUCGGUUCGGUACACGUUUCAUGAUGCUGUAACCGGCGGGAACUCGCGAGCGCCCUCCUCCGUCGAUGCAUGAACGAAUAUAAAUUUACAUUAUUGAUGCGUAAUGAGACGACGGGUUUUCGAGUAUCGAUAUUAUUUAAGAGAAUCGGUAUCGGUCGAAAGACCAAUCGAUCGGUUAUCGAUAUCGGUCGAAUGACCAAUUCGACUAUCACGGCUCUGUUGGAUGUGAGGAUAUAGAUCAUAUUUAAUAUUCGUUUCAACUCUAUUAAUAUUUUUUGUAAUAAUGAAGAGCUUUUAAUAAAUUAACGUUGGCUUUUAA